CACACAAACACCAACGCUGCCUCGAGGCCAAAGAAAAAACAAUCCUCCAUUCCUUUCUCCUUUUGAUCUCCUUGAAUUUAGGUCCAGGAGUGUGACCUAUGAGCAACAUAGUCAACGACAACGGUGGUAGUGGUAAUGGAAGAGGCGAACAUAACGGAGGGAGGCAGGUGGUGCCGCCGCUGCAGCUGAACUUAGGGCCUAUGGUGGCGGCGCCACCAGCAGUGGCAGUUGAGGAGGGCGAGGGCAGUGAUAUGAUCCUCUAUCAAUGCAACUCGUGCCCUAGGUUAUGUAUGCUGGAAAGGGGGGAAUUGGCCCGGUGCCUCCACUGCAACCAGCUUAGCCUCUUCAUCCGAAAUGCUUAAAUAAAUAAAAAGCGCGAUGGCGACCAGUCCCUGAGCAAAUGAAUAAGAUUACUCAUGCGUCGCUGCCAUGCAUGGAUGUUCCGUGUUGGCGCCGGUUGCGGGACUGGUGACAAUUGUUGGGUCAUCUUCUUAGACAAUGAACCUUAUUUGUAUUGCCUUUUUAUGGUUCAUGCAUUAAUGUUGUGUAGAUUAGCAUCUUUGUUGGUUAGUGGUUAUCAUCAUGUUGUGUUCUCCUUAAUUGUAAACCUCCUGGUUGAGGAGGCGGUGGCAAUAAUUGUGAACAAAUUCAUUUUUAUUU